AAAUCAGUGCUUAGACAUUGCUUUAGUUCUUCAUGCCUGCAAGUGUAUAUAAAAUAUUCUCCAAAUGAACAUUAGGCAUAGAGAAUGAGACAGAGAGAGAAGGGAGGUUGAGAUCAUUACUAUUUGAGCAUUUCCAGUAAUUUUAGUUCCAGAUGCUGCAUUAACUUCCUGUCACUUUUUGUCACAUUCAAACCCUCCACCUCUACAGGUUUCUGCGUAUACUCCCUCACGGUUUCCGUUAACUUCACCCUCAACCUAUUUUACAAAAAAUGCUGACCUCAGACCUUAAAUGUCUUUUGUUGCUGGCGUUUGUCUAUAUUAGAAUUCAUGCAAGGAUAAAGUGUGGGAUGAGCUGCUAUGGUUGUUAGACGACUCAUACUUGUAACUACAUCAGAAUCAUCUCGUCGUUUAUAAAUUCACAUUAGUCUUUCGAUAUCGACCAGAGUAAUGUCUACUACUAAGAUAUUAAAUCAAGAAAUCUUAAAGAAAAUAUGGUGGAUACUAACUUAAUAGAUAAUAAAAGAUAAGAUUGAAGAGACAAGUGAGUCAAAAUGGCACCUGUGAUAGCUAUUGCAGACUUCCAUUGCGAGAUCUUUUGAGUGACUCAACAGAUGUGAGUAAGGAAUAUUCCGCUCCCGUGAUCCAAAACCCUUCUCAAUCAUGGUCGUCAAUAGAAAACGGUAAUACGGCACCGUAUCUCCAGAAAUAAUAAACCUAAGCAACCAGAAGAUUAUUGAAUUUAGAACUCAAAAUCAGCAACACCAGAAUGAAAUCACACAAAGGAAAUAAAUGUACCCAUCAAGAAACACCAAGAUCUUCUUUGCCACUGAGGCGUCUUUCUUAGCCAGUUCUUCUUCCUUCGUC
rnacentral:lncRNA from 1 species